UAGGGAAUCUUCGGCAAUGGGGGGAACCCUGACCGAGCAACGCCGCGUGAGUGAAGAAGGUUUUCGGAUCGUAAAGCUCUGUUGUUAAGGAAGAACGAGUGUGAGAAUGGAAAGUUCAUACUGUGACGGUACUUAACCAGAAAGGGACGGCUAACUACGUACCAGCAGCCGCGGUAAUACGUAGGUCCCGAGCGUUGUCCGGAUUUAUUGGGCGUAAAGCGAGCGCAGGCGGUUAGAUAAGUCUGAAGUUAAAGGCAGUGGCUCAACCAUUGUAGGCUUUGGAAACUGUUUAACUUGAGUGCAGAAGGGGAGAGUGGAAUUCCAUGUGUAGCGGUGAAAUGCGUAGAUAUAUGGAGGAACACCGGUGGCGAAAGCGGCUCUCUGGUCUGUAACUGACGCUGAGGCUCGAAAGCGUGGGGAGCGAACAGG
rnacentral:rRNA from 1 species